GACGAACGCUGGCGGCGUGCUUAACACAUGCAAGUCGAACGGAAAGGCCCUGCUUUUGUGGGGUGCUCGAGUGGCGAACGGGUGAGUAACACGUGAGUAACCUGCCCUUGACUUUGGGAUAACUUCAGGAAACUGGGGCUACUACCGGAUAGGAGCUCCUGCUGCAUGGUGGGGGUUGGAAAGUUUCGGCGGUUGGGGAUGGACUCGCGGCUUAUCAGCUUGUUGGUGGGGUAGUGGCUUACCAAGGCGUUGACGGGUAGCCGGCCUGAGAGGGUGACCGGCCACAUUGGGACUUAGAUACGGCCGAGACUCCUACGGGAGGCAGCAGUGGGGAAGAUUGCACAAUGGGCGGAAGGUUGAUGAAGCAACGCCGCGUGCUGGAUGACGGCCUUCGUGGGGUAAACCGCUUUCGCCUGUGACGAAGCGUGAGUGACGGUAAUGGGUAAAGAAGCACCGGCUAACUACGUG
rnacentral:rRNA from 1 species